rnacentral:rRNA from 1 species
GACGAACGCUGGCGGCGUGCUUAUCACAUGCAAGUCGAACGGAAAGGCCCUGCUUUUGUGGGGUGCUCGAGUGGCGAACGGGUGAGUAACACGUGAGUAACCCGCCCUUGACUUUGGGAUAAAUUCAGGAAACUGGGGCUAAUAUCGGAUAGGAGCUCCUGCUGCACGGUGGGGGUUGGAAAGUUUCGGCGGUUGGGGAUGGACUCGCGGCUUAUCAGCUUGUUGGUGGGGUAGUGGCUUACCAAGGCUUUGACGGGUAGCCGGCCUGAGAGGGUGACCGGCCACAAUGGGACUGAGAUACGGCCCAGACUCCUACGGGAGGCAGCAGUGGGGAAUAUUGCACAAUGGGCGGAAGCCUGAUGCAGCAACGCCGCGUGCGGGAUGACGGCCUUCGAGUUGUAAACCGCUUUCGCCUGUGACGAAGCGUGAUUGACGGUAAUGGGUAAAGAAGCACCGGCUAACUACGUG